rnacentral:tRNA from 1 species
GCACCGUUCGUCUAAUGGUUAGGACACAGGCUUUUCACGCCUGCAAUAGGGGUUCGAUUCCCCUACGGUGUA